AUUGUAUCAGAAACGAGAGGUAACAUUUCAACAUUUAAGCUUUCAUAUGCAUUUAUUUUUCAAAUUCCAACAAACAUUUUCAAGUUUGUUAGAACUAAACAGAACCUACUAGAAUCAAUUCUAUUGAUGUCAUUUCUUUUAACAUAGCAACUUAUCACACAAUAAGUACUCAAUGUCUGGGUUUUAAUUGACCAAGUAAGUAAAUUGAAGAAAGUUUGGAAAACUUUCUCUUCCUCUGACACAAUUCUUCACUGUUCUUUUUUUUGGGGGGCGGGGGGAUGAAGCUUUGAAAAAUUUAUUUUUGCAUAACAUAAACAUGUCAAUCUUUCCCUUUAGCUCCUUCCACUCCUCCUUCAGUGUGCCGAAGAGAUACUGAGUUCUUCCAGAUUUUUGCUUAGCUGGGUAGUUUCUAAACUCAACAGACUCUCCAGCAUGCCUGCCCCUCGUCCUGACAUAACUGAUUAGGAAAUGAUUUCUAAAUGGUCAAGAGUCCAGCCUCGAUAGCCACUUCUCUGAUUCCAACAGAAUUUCUACAGAAGACAAUUUCCUUGUCUCAGCAAGGAGGGAAUACAGAUGAAUUGGCAGGAUCAGGAGCAGCCAUGUUGCACCAAGAGAAGAUGAAAAAAGCAUAUGUUGCAGAUUGCAAAGUAACUAGCUGAUUAUUUUGGGAAACUGCAACCACAGGAGAAGCUCUGAAAACAGAGUGGAAGUUACCUUAUCAUCCACAUUACCCCAGGAGGACAGGAUGACUCUAAGUCACUGGAGACAGUUAUCCUUUAUUGAUGGAGAAGGCACUGACUUAAAUCUCCAUAACAAAUCUUACUCUUAUUUGCCAGUUUUUCCUGAGCAUAAUCAACUUUCCCUACACCCUUCUUUUUGUUUCAGCAGACAUGGCAUUUAAGUGUGAGUUCAAAGCCACCUCUUUGAAAUUUACCAAUUUCUCUGGGUAUCUCCCUGUAUACUACACGAGGUAUACAUGUUAAUAAUCUUCUGUUUAUUUGUCUCUUUUUAAUCUGUUUUUUGUUACAGUGGCCCAUCCCAACUAAGAAUUAUGAAAGAUUGAGAGAAAAUU
rnacentral:lncRNA from 10 species